GACGAACGCUGGCGGCGUGCUUAACACAUGCAAGUCGAACGGAAAGGCCCUGCUUUUGUGGGGUGCUCGAGUGGCGAACGGGUGAGUAACACGUGAGUAACCUGCCCUUGACUUUGGGAUAACUUCAGGAAACUGGGGCUAAUACCGGAUAGGAGCUCCUGCUGCAUGGUGGGGGUUGGAAAGUUUCGGCGGUUGGGGAUGGACUCGCGGCUUAUCAGCUUGUUGGUGGGGUAGUGGCUUACCAAGGCUUUGACGGGUAGCCGGCCUGGUAGGGUGACCGGCCACAUUGGGACUGAGCUGCGGCCCAGACUCCUACGGGAGGCAGCAGUGGGGAAUAUUGCACUAUGGGCUGAAGCCUGACGCAGCAACGCCGCGUGCGGUAUGACGGCAUUCGGGUUGUAAACCGCUUUCGCCUGUGACGAAGCGUGAGUGACGGUAAUGGGUAAAGAAGCACCGGCUAACUACGUG
rnacentral:rRNA from 1 species